rnacentral:misc_RNA from 1 species
CAAUCCCAUAAACCGUGGCUCAGUUCAGAUCGUAGGCUGCAACUCGCCUACGUGAAGUAGGAAUCGCUAGUAAUCGCAGGUCAGCAUACUGCGGUGAAUACGUUCCCGGGCCUUGUACACACCGCCCGUCACACCAUGGAAGUUGGCCAUGCCCGAAGUCGUUACUCCAACCCUUGUGGAGGAGGACGCCGAAGGUGGGGCUAAUGACUGGGGUGAAGUCGUAACAAGGUAGCCGUACCGGAAGGUGCGGCUGGAUCACCUCCUAACAGGGAGACAACAAAAUGUUUAAUAUUAUUAUUUUGUCACCUUAGGUCGAUCGGUAUCUCACGUUCUUAAUUUAUUAAGAAUUUUAUUUCCUAAGUUUUUCUAGGUCACACCCAUUAUUUUCCUGGGCCAUUAGCUCAGGUGGUUAGAGCGCACCCCUGAUAAGGGUGAGGUCCCUGGUUCAAGUCCAGGAUGGCCCAUUCGGUGUUGGGGGUUUAGCUCAGUUGGUAGAGCGCCUGCUUUGCAAGCAGGAUGUCAGGAGUUCGAGUCUCCUAACCUCCACUGACCGAACUUGAUUCCCAUCUCCAAUUUUUUGGAGUUGAGCUCGAUUGGAGUGUGAUUUAGAUUUGUCCGCUGGAUGACCCCAGCUUCCUGUCAUUCCAAGUUUUAGGUUGAUGCCUUGAAUUUGGUUGAUAAGAUGCUGGGCUCGGAUCAAAUGAUCAAGCAAUUGAUGAUUUGAUUUGAAGUUCUAGCAGAACCUUGACA